rnacentral:lncRNA from 1 species
GUAGGUGUUUUUCCUUUUACGGAAAUGAGGUAACUGAGGCUCAGGAGUUAGGGAACUCUGCUGAGAUUAGAACCCAGGACUCCAGAAAGUUCUUAACAUUUUACUUUGCUAGGAGAAACCUACAAGUGGAUCAGAGGGCUUAUUGCUUACAGAGUGCUUUCACAAGCACUGUUCAUUGGAUGCUCACAACAGUCUUGAGAGUUGUGGGUCCUUCUGGCUGUGGCAUGUGGGACGCUGCCUCAGCGCGGCCACUGAGCGGCACCAUGUUCUCGCUGAGGACUCGAACCGGCGAAACCCCGGGCCGCCUGCAGCGGAGCCCAGGAACUUAACCACUCGGCCACAGGGCCGGCGCCAGAGUUAAAUUUUUUAUAAUAUUACUACUAUUGUCUUUUAAUAAAAGUAUAAUUUGCUUAUUUCAA